rnacentral:rRNA from 1 species
GAUGAACGCUGGCGGCGUGCCUAAUACAUGCAAGUCGAGCGAACGGACGAGAAGCUUGCUUCUCUGAUGUUAGCGGCGGACGGGUGAGUAACACGUGGAUAACCUACCUAUAAGACUGGGAUAACUUCGGGAAACCGGAGCUAAUACCGGAUAAUAUUUUGAACCGCAUGGUUCAAAAGUGAAAGACGGUCUUGCUGUCACUUAUAGAUGGAUCCGCGCUGCAUUAGCUAGUUGGUAAGGUAACGGCUUACCAAGGCAACGAUGCAUAGCCGACCUGAGAGGGUGAUCGGCCACACUGGAACUGAGACACGGUCCAGACUCCUACGGGAGGCAGCAGUAGGGAAUCUUCCGCAAUGGGCGAAAGCAUGACGGAGCAACGCGGCGUGAGUGAUGAAGGUCUUCGGAUCGUAAAACUCUGUUAUUAGGGAAGAACAUAUGUGUAAGUAACUGUGCACAUCUUGACGGUACCUAAUCAGAAAGCCACGGCUAACUACGUG